rnacentral:rRNA from 1 species
GGCGAACGGGUGAGUAACGCGUUGGUGACCUACCCCAAAGUGAGGGAUAACAGUUCGAAAGAAUUGCUAAUACCCCAUGUGGUCAUUAGGAUUAGAAUCUGAUGACUAAAGCAGUAAUGCGCUUUGGGAGGGACCUGCGUCCCAUCAGCUAGUUGGUAGGGUAACGGCCUACCAAGGCAACGACGGGUAAGGGACCUGAGAGGGUGGUCCCUCACAAUGGCACUGAAACACGGGCCAUACACCUACGGGUGGCAGCAGUAGGGAAUAUUGGGCAAUGGGCGAAAGCCUGACCCAGCAACGCCGCGUGCACGAUGAAGGCCUUCGGGUCGUAAAGUGCUUUUCUGGGAGAUGAGAAAGGACAGUAUCCCAGGAAUAAGUCUCGGCUAACUACGUGCCAGCAGCCGCGGUAAAACGUAGGAGACGAGCGUUAUCCGGAUUUACUGGGCGUAAAGCGCGUGUAGGCGGUUCGGCAAGUUGGAUGUGAAAUCUCCCGGCUCAACUGGGAGGGGUCGUUCAAUACUACCGGACUUGAGAGCAGUA